GUUCACAUCAAAAACCACCAAUUGAAGGAUCAAAUCGAGUCCAAAACGAAAACCGAGCAUAUAUUCGUGAUCCCCAUUGAAAGGAGAUCAUAAGAAAUUAUGCCCGCAAGUUUGUCGCCUAACGAGCUAGGUGGAGGCUUGAAAAAGAAGCGGUCAAACGAAUCAAGCACGAGAAGAAAACGUAUUCGGAUGCGAGGUAAGUAGAGCUUACGCCCCUUUACAUUAUUUGCAAAGUUACUUAAUUUCAAGUAAUGAUAUGAAUGCUACUAAGUGGUUGGUAUAUGAUAUUCCGACGCG
rnacentral:lncRNA from 1 species